UCUAGGUGUUUUUCAUGCACCAUCUCACUGAGACCUCAACAAAGUUUUUAUGAGUUCUGUCUCUGGUGUGGUCUAAUGUAGCAGCACCAUUACUGUUCCUGAGUAAAAGCAUCCCGAUCUUGGGUUUUUGGUAUCACUGUGAAUUUCUGCUCAAAAGUAGCAAGAUCUCUUGGACAGUGGCUGCUUCCAUGUCAGGGGCUGAAGGAGUGAAGAUGGUCCUGGAACUUUUCUUUGCAGAGAAGCAAGGAGGGGAUGCCUUCAAAGUUCUGAUGGAGCUGAACAAAGAAGCCAGCUUACAGCUUACUGGCCAAGGUUUAACAACUUGAGCAUCAAAAUGGAAAAUACAAAUUGUAAUUAAUUAAAACAAG
rnacentral:lncRNA from 1 species